GGAUGUGAGGGCGAUCUGGCAGCAAUAUCUGUCAACCCACUGAUAGCCAGUGUUGAUUAGGCUGCUCUGGCAUGCUAGGCAGGUGUCCCUUUCUUCCCUCACUGCUCUAUUGUGUGUCCCUUCUGAAGCUGUGCACUCUCUUGAAGAGGUUGACGUUCCAUGAAUAGAAACUGACUGAUCUUCCUUUGAGGGUAUAUGAGUAGCUGUGUUCCCCUGUUAGAACCUCCAGGCAAGCUAUCAAGGCCUUCCAUUCUUAUCUAAUUUUGGUGCAUGAUGUUAAGUGAUGGUCUAGUUUCACUUUUCUGCAUGGGAUGAUCCAGUUUGCUAAGCAUC
ensembl:misc_RNA 7SK 7SK RNA